CCUGGUCCCUGUUCCAUUGGGGGUGUUCUCCGUGAUCACAGAGGUUUAUACAAUUGUCUUUUCCAAGUGAUGCAAAUUUGGCUGCGGAUUGUUUAGCUAAGCAGGGUCACUCUCGCACGUCUUCAUGGCUUUCUUUUAGAAUAGUCUUUUGUUGAUUUCCUAUGAUUUGAAUUUAGUUGAAUUGUACAUUUUCUUUUUGGGUUCUUAUUGGGGUGAGGCGUUUGCUGCUUUAGGUCCGGUCUUGUGGGGAAUGCCUGUUGGCAUGGGUUAGGUUGCAGCUCUCCUCAUCUUUU
rnacentral:misc_RNA from 1 species